rnacentral:rRNA from 1 species
CUCCUACGGGUGGCAGCAGUGGGGAAUCUUGCGCAAUGGGGGAAACCCUGACGCAGCGACGCCGCGUGAGUGAUGAAGGCCUUCGGGUUGUAAAGCUCUGUGGAGAGGGACGAAUAAGUGCGGUCGAAUAGGCCGCAUGAUGACGGUACCUUUUUAGCAAGCACCGGCUAACUCUGUGCCAGCAGCCGCGGUAAGACAGAGGGUGCAAACGUUGUUCGGAAUUACUGGGCGUAAAGCGCGUGUAGGCUGCUUGGAAAGUCGGAUGUGAAAGCCCUGGGCUCAACCUAGGAAGUGCAUUCGAAACUUCCAAGCUCGAGUUUCGGAGAGGAAGGCGGAAUUCUCGGUGUAGAGGUGAAAUUCGUAGAUAUCGAGAGGAACAUCGGUGGCGAAGGCGGCCUUCUGGACGAUGACUGACGCUGAGACGCGAAAGCGUGGGGAGCAAACAGGAUUAGAUACCCUGGUAGUCCACGCCGUAAACGAUGGGUGCUAGGUGUCGCGGGCUUUGACCCCUGCGGUGCCGUAGCUAACGCAUUAAGCACCCCGCC